UAAGAAGGAGAAGAGAAUGAAGGAUAAUUUUGGACUGAAGUUAGUAUUUCAUAUGUUUGGGAAUGUAUACAUACUUUACCAAAGAACGUAGAGGCGGCAUCGAAACCUUGCAAUUGUGCGAGAGGAGUGGCUAAAAAUCGAUUGGUUACCUCCGGCCGCCGGUACAUCUCUCUAUAUCCCUACGAUUUGUGUCUUCAGUUUUCUAUUUUUCCUUUACGGCGUUUCCUUCGUUUAGACCGCUAUGGGUAGGCCUUCGUCCACGGUUGAGAUCCCUGACAAACGACACCGUAUAGAGAACGGUGGUCACUCGCCGGAUUCCGACUCACCCCGCGACCACCGCCGUCGUCGAAGCCCCGACUAUGGUAGGUACGAUCCCGAUUCCGAGCGCCGCCAUCGCCGUCGGUCCGAUUCGCCUGAUUAUCCAAACCCUAGACGAAGCCCUAGAUCCGACGCCCGGCGGGUUGGCUCUGGAGACCGCAAGAAUCGUUCCGCUACGUUUCUAGACCGCGAUUAUAAGAACGGGCGAUACUCGGAGUCGGAGUCCGAUGAGGAAUUGAAGGGGUUGAGUUUUGAAGAGUAUCGCAGGCUCAAGAGGCAGAAGCUGAGGAGGAUGUUGAGGAAUUGUAUAUGGAACGUUACGCCGAGUCCUCCGAGAAACGCGAAUGAAGAGGAAUUCGAACCGGAACCGGAGGAGUUCACAGAGAAAUAUGUUGUAGAAGAGGACAAACGAGAAAACAAUGAUUUGAAGAAGGAGAUCAAGGGAAGCGCAAAAUCCGAGUUAGAACGAUCAGAGAGAAGUGAAUCUGAGAGCGAGUCGGAGUCUGACUCUGAAUCCGAGGAUUCACGGUCUAGGAGAAAGAGAAAGGGUUCGAGGUCUAGGAGGAGAACUGGGAAAUCAUCCUACAGUGACAGCGAAUCGGAUGGUGAUGACAGUGAAAGUGAUGAUUAUGAAGAUUCACGAUCGAGGAAAAAGGGGAAGAGCUCGAGCUCUAGGAGAAAUAAAAAAUCAUCCUACAGUGAUAGUGACUCAGAGGAUGAUGCAAGUGAGAGUGACGACGAGAAAGAAGAUAAUCGGAGGAAGAAGAAGUCGAGCAGAAGCAGAAGUAGACGAAGUGGGAGCAGUAGGAAAAGUAGCAAGAGGAAAAGGAGGAGUAGGAGGAGUUAUUCAGAUGAAAGUGAUAGUGAAGUGAGUGGAAGUGACGAAUCUGAUAGGCCAAGGUCACAGAAGCAGGGGCAAGCUUUGUCAACUAAAUCUAAAAGGAGCAAGAAAAAGAGCAGGUCUGAAACAUAUAGUGAGAGUUCAUAUUCCGAUAAGAGUUCAGAUUCUGAAGUUGAUGCAAAAAGCAAAAUGAAGGCAGAGGAUGUAAUGAUAAAUGAAGUUAAUGCAGAGGCUUUAAUAUUUAAAGAGAUGAUUGAAUCACAGAAGAAGCCUGCAUUGGAUAAUGAACCGACUGUUGGUCCAAUGCCAUUGCCCAGAGCAGAAGGGCACAUUAGUUAUGGUGGUGCGCUUAGGCCAGGUGAAGGUGAUGCCAUUGCCCAGUAUGUUCAGCAAGGGAAGCGUAUUCCUCGAAGAGGAGAAGUGGGUCUUUCAGCAGAGGAGAUCCAGAAGUUUGAGGGCCUUGGUUAUGUUAUGAGCGGCAGCAGGCACCAGAGGAUGAAUGCAAUUCGUAUCAGGAAAGAAAACCAGGUUUAUAGUGCAGAGGACAAAAGGGCAUUGGCAAUGUUUAACUACGAAGAGAAGGCAAAACGUGAGCAUAAGGUUAUGGCUGAUUUGCAGCGACUGGUGCAACGCCACAUUGGGCAGGAUGUUGGUCCCACUCAUGAUCCUUUUGCUGUGAAAGGUGCUGAGGGCACUGAUACUUGAACCUAAUCUCAUGCAAUAAUGAUGAAGGUUCAGGAUGCGAGCUGAUUAAGCACAUAUGCUAGUAGUUUCACUGCCUAAGGGAAUUCUGCCACGCCAGCAUGUAAUUGAGUUUUCCAAUACGAAGAUUGAGCUUUUUUUUGACCUUUUGGAUGAAUGAAGAAAAGCUGGGUGGAGGGUCACUUGGAAAUCAAGAAAACUCCUUUGCAGGUAUGAUUAGUAGUAAGAUAAUUGCUUUUCUUGUGUAUGUUGUUACUAUUGGGACUUUGCUGUUUGUUUACACAUGCCGUACCCUGGGGAAAAAAAAUGAUUCUGCCGGCAAUCUAGGUGGGUUCUGAAACUUCAAAAAGACUAACAAGAAUGGUAUUAGAGUCUACUGGUCAUAGAAUUGGUUAUAACAGUAAGCAAGUUCUUGGACAAUCCACAAAUGACCCUAUUGUAGAAUAAUUAAUUAAAUUUUUUAAAAGUGUUUUUUAAAUUUUACCAUUUCUUGUUUUUCAAAAACCCUUAUUUAGUUUUCAAAAACAAAUUUUAAAUGCUUUUUAAAAGCGCGAAACAGAUUCUAAGGAAAUGGGGUCAUGACUUCAAAGCAGAAGUGGAAGUCCUUACAAAGGUUAGGACUUAAGACACACCGAGUUGCUUCUUUUGGAUCUUUGCAUCAUUACUAUUGUGGUCUUUCUUGUCAUGGGUUACAGCUUUGCAGUAGACUUUUCGACAAUAGGCUUAGAAAUUAGAAUCGUAUGCAGCUCUGAAUGUUGCGUCUCAGCGUGUAUGCUUUCAAUUUUAUUUUUUUUUCCCUCUUUUUCCCGAUUGUCUCCACUUUAAUAAAGUUGCUUAAAAGUCUUCUAUCAUGCGUAGUCAUAGGAAAAAAUACCUGAAAAUUCUGUUCCGACCGAGUCUUAAGGUCUCCCUCUGCACGCUACACCCCAACAUUUUUAUUGUUGCCGUAUUCUUCAGGGUUGAUAUUUGUUGUUUCUUGUCAUAUAAAAAGGGAAAAAAGCACUAGGACUGGGACAACAUUUUCGGCUGUGGGAUUGGGACAUUACUUUUACCACUUUUCUUUUUGUUUUUCAGUUUGAUGAUAAUAUAUUAAUAUCCCUGACUUCACCUUCCUAAUCUAGAAGACCCUAAACCCACUCAAAUUUUUCCAUUUUUUUUCUCCUUUAUUGAACGAAACCCACCAACAAUGAUUAUAUCAGGGUUUAGUGUAGGGUGUGUGGAAUUCACUUUGAAUUCUGUGGCUUUACCCAUUCACGGACUUUCGAAACUGUUGCAUUGUGGAAUGGGUCAGUGGGGAGGGGUGUGUUUUUAUGCGGCCUGAUGAGAGGUCAAAGUCAAGCUCUGUGGGGGGCAACUUUUUCUGCAGUCAAAUGUAUUGGCCUGACUGGACUAAACCCAAAAUAACAGGCGGACAGGAGAACAACAGAGGAUACUGGAUGUCACGGCAGUUGAAGGUAAAGAGAGGCUGAAAUGAGCCCAUUGGUCCUGUGAUAUUCCAUAUCUGGGUGCGGCAGCGGCAGGGACAUGCACUGGUCAGGCACUGCUGUUUUGUACUACCCUUAUGGCUUAGAUUCCACAGUGAUAAGAAACAUCCACUUUCCCCCACUAACAGGGACAAAUCAGGGUUUCCAAUGCCUUUUCCUAGUUUACAGUAUUAACUUUAUGCCCAAGGUUUGACCUCCUAAUCCUCAUGUCCAGAGAGACCUAAGAAGAUUGAAGAGGUCAUUAUUUUGGGGCACUACACACUCUGGGAAGGAAAAUGGAGAAAGACCCUCAGUUUUUUUUUACCUAAUUUUAGUCUAAUAAUAUUUCUUUAUAUAUUUAUUCAA